CACGUAGGGGACGAGCGUUGUCCGGAUUCAUUGGGCGUAAAGAGCUCGUAGGCGGUCUGUCGCGUCUGUUGUGAAAACUCGAGGCUCAACCUCGGGCUUGCAGUGGAUACGGGCAGACUAGAGUGCGGUAGGGGAGACUGGAAUUCCUGGUGUAGCGGUGGAAUGCGCAGAUAUCAGGAGGAACACCGAUGGCGAAGGCAGGUCUCUGGGCCGCAACUGACGCUGAGGAGCGAAAGCAUGGGGAGCGAACAGG
rnacentral:rRNA from 1 species